UCUCUCUCUCUCUCUCUCUCUUCGUGUGUUUGUGUGUGUGUGUUUGUGCGAGCAUGCAUGUCAUUGUUUGCAAACUUCGGUUGACUUGCAUGUAAUUUUCAUUUCCACUGAUGCUAAGUACUGCACUUUUAGGAUUUUAGAGAUGGUAGAACUUAGCUUUGGAAAAAUGUUUUAGUCCAACAAUUUUGGAAGCUAAAAAUAUUGGUCCCUCUUGAUUCUCUCAUAUAACACCAGCCCGCCCUUAACUAGACUUUUAAUGAGAAUACUUUUAUGUCUUUGGUGUUUAAUUGCUUCUAACUUAUUGGCAUGUACCCUUGCUCAAGCUUGUGGGUGGUGUUGAUGACUUCUGUAAUGUGCCAUUGCUAUAAUGAUUCUCAUAGUCUUACACUGUUAUCCCUUUUGGUAAAUUGGAAUAAGCACUCUGUGGGCUCUUUGGCAAGCAAAGAUUGUGAUUUUGUACUACUUACUAAAUUAAAAAAUUCUGGAAGGAGUGGAGGUGGUCAAAGAGCGAUGAUUUUGUAUUGUGUGUGCAAUCAUUUGGAGUACUUGCUUAUAGAGUAAUGUUAGAAAUAAGGAACAGUAAUUGCAUUUGCUGUUGCUAUGAGGCUGAUUUGCUUUCUUAGCUUUUCUUCAGGUUUCAGCUUCUAGUCAUAUGGAAGGGCUAUUGCCAUCAACAUUCAAUGUGGUUGAAGGGUUUUACCUUGUUAAUUUUACUGUUGUCCUUUUCCUAUUAUUAAGAGGAUUAAUUUUACUCUUUAUUGCGAUUGUCUUCUUUCUUAUCUCUAAUAAAAUCUCUAUUUUCAUAUAAAAAUUAUUUGUGCUGAUGCCUUACAAUUUACAGGUUCCCUCCACAUCUGCUGUUAUUUUGAAAUUUGAGCUUAUGCAAGCUCCCAUAACAGAGAAUAUAUUUGAGUUGCUAGCAUAUCUGGAUGAUGCUUCUGUUGCAGUCCAUGAAUUUCGAAUUCCUCCUAA
rnacentral:misc_RNA from 1 species